UGGUCCCAACGGCCUGUAGCCCAUCUCUUUCUGAAGCCAGUCCAAUAUGGCCUCUGGUUGAGCUACUGAGCUAGCUGAGCUCUGCAUUGUGGAUAAUUUGAGAGUUCCAAUUUCAGCCAGGGAUAUCUAAGACUCAAUCGGCAUGCUGCUGCACGAAUCUAGGGUUUGAGUUCCCUAACAUGCAAAUCAGAGCUAGGCUGCG
rnacentral:misc_RNA from 1 species